rnacentral:lncRNA from 1 species
CCAAAAUAGGUGGCUUUGCUAUAUUGCUUACUUUGAGUUGAAAGCAGCAGAGGCAAGAAGAGCAAUCUGACAAUUAUUUUUCCUUCUAGAAGCAGGAGAUAACAUCCCUGUAUCAGAAUGUUGCUUUCCUGUAUCAGAAGAAAGAAACAGCAUCAUCAGAGAAGGUGACCAGCUUAUUCAACUUUGCCUGGGACCUUUUUAGUUUUAACACUGGAAGU